rnacentral:rRNA from 1 species
GCGGCAAAAGCUCAAAUUUGAAAUCUGGCACUUUCAGUGUCCGAGUUGUAAUUUGAAGAAGGUAUCUUUGGGUCUGGCUCUUGUCUAUGUUUCUUGGAACAGAACGUCACAGAGGGUGAGAAUCCCGUGCGAUGAGAUGUCCCAGACCUAUGUAAAGUUCCUUCGAAGAGUCGAGUUGUUUGGGAAUGCAGCUCUAAGUGGGUGGUAAAUUCCAUCUAAAGCUAAAUAUUGGCGAGAGACCGAUAGCGAACAAGUACAGUGAUGGAAAGAUGAAAAGAACUUUGAAAAGAGAGUGAAAAAGUACGUGAAAUUGUUGAAAGGGAAGGGCUUGAGAUCAGACUUGGUAUUUUGUUGUUACUCUCUCGGGGGUGGCCUCUACAGUUUACCGGGCCAGCAUCAGUUUGAGCGGUAGGAUAAGUGCAAAGAAAUGUGGCACUGCUUCGGUAGUGUGUUAUAGUCUUUGUCGAUACUGCCAGCUUAGACUGAGGACUGCGGCUUCGGCCUAGGAUGUUGGCAUAAUGAUCUUAAGUCGCCCGUCUUGAAACACGGACC